GUUUNGGANACUGGGCGUCAGGGCACGUAGGCGGUGAAUCGGGUUGAAAGUUAAAGUCGCCAAAAACUGGNGGAAUGCUCUCGAAACCAAUUCACUUGAGUGAGACAGAGGAGAGUGGAAUUUCGUGUGUAGGGGUGAAAUCCUNAGAUCUACGAAGGAAGGCCAAAAGCGAAGGCAGCUCUCUGGGUCCCUACCGACGCUGGNGUGCGAAAGCAUGGGGAGCGAACGGGAUUAGAUACCCNUGGGUAGUCCACA
rnacentral:rRNA from 1 species